CCUUGACAAUGCGGGCAUGGAGUUUGGGCAAUCAAGCUUGUAAUGUCACGUACCACACAUGGUAUAAAUAUAGACGCUAAACCCUCCAGCUGCACGCUGGGGAUAUCAGGACCUGGAAGAAUCUUUCAGCAGCCAAGAUGAAGCUCCAGAUUGUGGCUGCCAUUCUCCUCGUCACCAUCCUUUCCCCAAAGAGAAGCAGCGCGCAGCAGGUCGGCGCACAGGGGUCCUUGGGCGUGGGUGCAAGCCUUGAUGUGCCAGAUGUCGAGACUCCAUUUGAAGAAGCUGUUUCGG